rnacentral:rRNA from 1 species
AAAGUGCAUAGAAUUAUUGCUGCGGUUAAAAAGCUCGUAGUUGGAUCUGUGCCAUAGGACUGGGUCUACCUUCGGGUCAGUACUCAGCUCCUAGGCUUUUUGACGGUUUUCCCGUCGUAGCCUUCACUGGUUGCGGCGGGUGGCUGUCGAGUUUACUUUGAGAAAAUCAGAGUGCUCAACACAGGCGUCUAGCUUGAAUGAUUGUGCAUGGAAUAAUAGAAAAGGAUUUCGGUCCUCUUUUAUUGGUUUUGUGGACUGAGAUAAUGGUUAACAGGGACAAACGGGGGCAUUCGUAUCGAUGCGUGAGAGGUGAAAUUCUUGGACCGUAUCGAGACGCCCUACUG